rnacentral:rRNA from 1 species
UACGUAGGGUGCGAGCGUUGUCCGGAAUUAUUGGGCGUAAAGGGCUCGUAGGCGGUUUGUCGCGUCGGGAGUGAAAACCAGGUGCUUAACACCUGGCUUGCUUUCGAUACGGGCAGACUAGAGGCAUGCAGGGGAGAACGGAAUUCCUGGUGUAGCGGUGAAAUGACGCAGAUAUCAGGAGGAACACCGGUGGCGAAGGCGGUUCUCUGGGCAUGUCCUGACGCUGAGGAGCGAAAGUGUGGGGAGCGAACAGG